GUACAUAUUUACGGAACAGUAAGAGAGUGCACAUUUGCAAAUCCAAAGUGCACAAACGAUUUUAUUUUACUUUUAUUUUGUUUUGUUUUUCUAUACGCGCACGCUCAGAGGAAAAACAAAAUACUCCUGCUUACAGGUACUCAUACCUAAGUACAUACUAUAUACGGGACAUUAUACCCUACUAGGGUACCACAAAUUUUUUCAUACCUUCGGAAAAAAAACGCAUUCGCAAGAAAUUAAUCGGUUCGGUAGAGAAAAUAUAAAAUAUCAUAAUAUAUAUUUUUACAUAAAUAAGCAAAUAAAUAAACUAUUGCGGAAAAUUUAUUUUACUUGUUCAAAGUCCAAAUUGGCAUAUUUUCGGCAAUACCCCUUGUUCUUUGAUAAGCAAAAUCAAGCAGGAUUGCGUACUUAUGUACAAAGUGCAUUGAUCUCUUAUACGAGCACUCAUUUGCAAGUACAGUAGAGGCCCGCUAAUCCGAACACGGCCUAAUCCGGAUUCCACUGUAAUCCGGACAGAGUUAAAAAAUUCAAAAUUUCUAUUAUGUCCAUUGUAAUCCGGACCGACAUUCUCUAUCCGUAUUCUCUAAUCCGGAUCACAUGUUUAUUAUUCACUACAUUCGCUUCGCACUUUAUUUCGCCACUUAUGCGAGCGCUUUGUUUCAUACUUGUGUGAAUCCCCAAUAUUCUGGAAAUUACUUCCUGAUCAAACAUGGGUGUCUGCUGUAGAAAGAAGUGCUCCAGGGAGAAAAACCUCUAAAGAGAGAGUAACAUUUCUUGCUUGUGCAAACGGUGAUGGCACACAUAAACUUAAAAUGGUGGUCAUUGGAUAAGCGGAAAAUCCCAGAGCUUUUAAGAACUGUAGCGAUCUUCCAGUUGAAUAUUGCUCGACAAAAAAUGUCUGGAUGACUUCAACUAUUUCCGUAAAAUGGUUUCACGAGUCGUUUGUCAAACAAGUAAAAGAUUUUCAAGCGAAAAACAACCUAGAUGGAAAAGCUAUUUUACUAGUUGAUAAUGCUUCUUGUCACGCAUCGGUUGCGCAGCUUACGAGCGAUAAUUCCAAAGUUAUUAAAAACUAGCUGACCCCGCAGCCGUUGUCCUGCGUGAAAUUAUAUAGUUUGAAAUGAAAAGAAAGUUAAAUGUAUCAUUUCAUUUAUUUUUUUUUCAAUGUAACGCAGCUGUAUAAACAACAUUUUUCGGUUUCUGUUCCGGUGUACAGAAAAGAUGGUUUUCCAACUCGUGAGCACGCUACGGCCGUGUAAAGAACAUAGCAUUUCCAAAUUUAUGCCUCACACUAUGCGACUAUCUUUAGGUCCUGUUGGCUGUCAUCUCAACGGAAACAGAAUACGUUUCAGAGAAAAUGGCAAAUCGUUAGAACUCAAAGGAAUUCAUAGGAUCAAGCAUUCUGUCCCUUUGUAUUCGAUAGGUGCGUCACAAUCAGUCGGUUUCCAUUACACAGUUUCGGCGCAUGAAGAUUGGGAAACAUAAUAACGACGGAUCCUACUUUGAGACGUAAAUGAUGCUGUGGUAUACCAAGCCUGUCCAAAGAAUUUAGGAAUAUCACUGGAUAAUUCACGGCGUCGUCUUCAUAGUCAAGACGAUCGAUCGAUUUGUAUGAGCGCAAGGCUCCCGGAAUAUGACUUUGAAUCUUCCAGUUGAAGUCAACAACAUCGGUAUUUUUGGCAGCUAACAUUGCGCGUUCACUUAAGGAAUCGUAGUUACGAUAAUUUGGCCAAUGUCCGAACAUUUGUGAAGAGUUCAUCUUUCGUGAAUUGAUAAAGGGAAGAUGGAAUUGAUAUCGAACCACCGGAAGUAUCAACCGGUCAUUUCCAAUUUUAUGCGAAGACGAUGUAAAAUGUCUUCGGCAAUGUCAUUUUUGUUAGUAUCCCAUAAUAGACACGGAUUUGAAGGCUGAUAUGCCGAAGUGAUUAUCGCGAAAAGUGUGCGAACUUCAUUUGCAUUCCAGUGAUUAUCAUUUUCCAGCGAUUGUAAUUGCUGGCUUACUUCUCCAAAUCUUGCAAUGAUAAGCAAUGACUCAAAUAAAGUUAAACUGCGUACAUUAAUCAAUAGCAACCCAAGGUAGAAACAAUCGUCGUUUUUCGGGUGGAUUGUGUAAAUUUGUCCCAAUGCAUUAGUUGAUAAGACACCUGGAUGUCAAUCUACUGGUUGGCCUUGCUUUCUGCGUAAGUAUUCGACAAUGCAUUCAAUGUAUAAUAUCAAGGUAUUUUCGCAAAGAGCAAUGUUCUCACAAACGAAUCACUGACGAAAGUUGAGAAAAAUUCGUCAAUGUUAAUUUUGUUGCUGACGAUGUUUCCACUGGCUAUACUAUGUAUAUUCUCUGGGUUGAAAUACACUCUUUGGUCAUUCUCCAAAUUAACUGCGCACAACAGUCGGAAAACGUUCAUGAAUUGCAAAAGUAUUUAUUCUACAAAGUGCUUUAUUGCAGCUCACGUAUCGACCGUAUCGUUUAAGACCAAUAACCGCCAUGUUGCCUCCUUUGGCGACGUACUUACAAACGCAUUUUAUCGAUUACACCAAACUACAAUACUCAAUAUUGACAUGACUUUUGAAUGUGAAAUAGACAACAGUGGCGAAUAUGGUACGAUCUAUGUGUUGUCAACUUCGAUACUCACGCCUCUAAAUUGAAUGCUAAAUGUUCUGCCAUUGUCGUAUGGUGAGCGACGCCGAUAGAGUGGAUAUCCAUAAUUUCUAGUUUGUGUUUCCGAAAGAAAAGUACGUGGAUACUGUUUCGUGGAUUUAUUGACAGACAAACAAACCGAAGUGGGCUUGUGGUUUUCGCAAGGUUCAUGAAGCUUAUUGGUUUUCAUCACUUCGUAUAAUACUGGAUCUUUCUUUGCAUCAGGAAUUGCCGCAUUAUUGAAUGAUUUCAUCAAUUUGAUCUGGUGUAACCACCUUCCACCAUCCAAAUGUGUGCGUGCGGCAAACCUCUGUUUUGCCACUCAACAGAAUACAUCUAGCAUUUAACAGCACCAUAUAUGCGUUCUUCUUCUUCUUUACUGGCGUAGACACCGCUUACGCGAUUAUAGCCGAGUCAACAACAGCGCGCCAAUCGUUUCUUCUCUUCGCUACGUGGCGCCAAUUGGAUAUUCCAAGCGAGGCCAGGUCCUUCUCCACUUGGUCCUUCCACCGGAGUGGAGGUCUUCCUCUUCCUCUGCUUCCCGCGGCGGGUACUGCGUCGAAUACUUUCAGAGCUGGAGUGUUUUCAUCCAUCCGGACAACAUGACCUAGCCAGCGUAGCCGCUGUCUUUUAAUUCGCUGAACUAUGUCGAUGUCGUCGUAUAUCUCGUACAGCUCAUCGUUCCAUCGGAUGCGGUAUUCGCCGUGGCCAACGCGCAAAGGACCAUAAAUCUUCCGCAGAACUUUUCUCUCGAAAACUCGCAACGUCGACUCAUCGGUUGUUGUCAUCGUCCAAGCCUUUGCACCAAAUAGCAGGACGGGAAUUAUGAGCGACUUAUAGAGUUUGUUUUUUGUUCGUCGAGAGAGGACUUUACUUUUCAAUUGCCUACUCAGUCCGAAGUGGCACCUGUUGGCAAGAGUAAUCCUGCGUUGGAUUUCUAGGCUGACAUUUUUGGUGGUGUUAAUGCUGGUUCCUAAAUAGACGAAAUUAUCUACAACUUCAAAGUUAUGACUGUCAACAGUGACGUGAGUGCCAAGUCGCGAGUGCGACGACUGUUUGUUUGAUGACAGGAGAUAUUUCGUCUUGCCCUCGUUCACUGCCAGACCCAUUUGCGUUGCUUCCUUGUUCAGUCUGGAGAAAGCAGAACUAACGGCGCGGGUGUUGAGACCGAUGAUAUCAAUAUCAUCGGCAUACGCCAGCAGCUGUACACUCUUAUAAAAGAUUGUACCUGCUCGAUUCAGUUCUGCAGCUCUAAUAAUUUUCUCCAGCAGCAGAUUGAAAAAGUCGCACGAGUUGCUUCAAGAUAAUGUCCAUCGAAGCUGUUGCUUGAAAAGUCUUGCUGUGACAUCGUGACGAUCGCUUUCUGCUUGAUCGCGACCUAUAAUACCGCAUGUAUGUAUGUCAUCGCAUCCUGGGAGUACUCGUUCAUGUGCCUUGGGCUGCUAAUGUAUGUUGAUGCCAAAAAGAACGCCAACCGAUAUUAGCAAUCAAUCUGUAAUUGAUCACUUUGUGUGAAAAACACAUAACAUUUUCACUGAAUAAUUUUCAAAAAUUUUUGAAGCAAACGCCAAAUUUGAAAGAUUCAAAUAAUUGAAAAAUAAAAUAAAAAAAAUGAAUAAUAAAAUUUGUAUGGAAAAAAUUAACUUUUUGGAAUUUUCCAAUUUUCCGACUUUUCCUCACGAAAAGCAUACAGGGUUUUUUAUUUCUAAACCUUCCCCGAUCCCCACGGAACAUUCUCCGAAAAUUUCAUCAAGAUUGGUUCAGUUGUUCUCUCAGCGUUACUAAUAAACAAACAUUCAUUCGUUUGUAUGGGAAAAAGAAAACGGCUGGUUUAAGGGGUUUUCCGGCAAUUAUUCGAUUUUUUUUCUCCGCAUAAACCAUCCCUGACCCUCAACGAACAUUUUAAAAAAAGAAUAAUUAAAUUUGGUUCAGUGGUAUGAAAGUGAUGCGCGUACAUACAUUUUGGCGAUUCAUUUUUAUUUAUAUAGAUCUCACAAUAAAGAAUGCUGUUUUUUUUUGCUUGCGAAUUCUUGCGACAAGCUGUCGUCUGAUAUAGUAGCAAAAUGUUGGCAAAAAAUUCUUCUCUAUUCAGGGAAUAACGAUAUAGUUAAUACCGAAAAAAAUUCCGAUGCCGACGAGGAUCCAGAUGAUAGCAUUUUUCUGUCUGUUCUCAAAGAAAGGACGUCACAGCGUGAAGAUGCACAAGAGCUAACAGAAAUCGGACCUUUGUUGCAGAGGAUGGAUAAUAACAAUCAUCAACUGCCACAAUCUGAAAUUAGUGAAUGGCUUAUUGGAGAUAACGACCAUUUACCCCUCCAUAGUGACGACGAUUCCUCCGUUGAAGAAGUCGAAAACAAUGAACCAAAAGCUAAACAUGAAGACGCUAUUAAAAGCUUCAGCACCUGUAUACAAAGGCAAACAUGGACUCAGAAAGCAUGUCAACUCCAACACCAACACUGCGAUCAGCCAUCAGUGUUCCCCGUCCUGGGGUUGUCCCAACAGCGGCACCCCGUACAAUCAUCGCAUCAGCACCGUCAACUGCAGCUCGUAAUGGCACACGAGCAGCUGUAACCACACCGGCACCACCAGCGGAGCCGCAUCGCAUACGAUGCCCCCUUUGUCGCCACCCCCAUCGACUGCAAUACUGUGGGCUCUUCAAGGGCAUGUCACCCAUCCAGCGACAGCAGGUCGCACAGGCGCAUGGGCAUUGCACCAAUUGUCUGGCACACACGCACGCGACUGAGGACUGUGACUCUGGGGCAUUGUGCCAAAUGUGUGGCAGGUAGCAUCACACGCUGCUCCACCGGAACCCAAGACGUGAGGUUGGUCGGCCACCUGCCACUCGCAGACCGCAGCAAUCCAGCCGUGUGGCACGACGACGAAGACCGCCACCACCUCCUGAGUCUCGUCUAUGGCGACCGCGAAACGCAGUACCCAUCAGGCGCCAUCGUCAAGGGCCACACUACCGGCGCACGUCCGGACUUAGCAACGUUGUGGCAACGUUGCAACAACUCCAGCGAUUGCUAGGCUGAACAUUCGCCUAGGGGGGCCGGGAUGGCUAAAUGAGUUAAGCUUUCCGCCCCCAUACACUACUACACCACACAACACACCACUCACAAAGCAACACUGGCACACUCACCACACCUGGAGACAACACUCAGCGAUUGGAAGCAGCAGUCUACACCCACACACACACGCCAAUACACACCACACCAACCCACCAAAACUCUCCACAGCCCAACGAGCAAAAAGCCUCGUCCUGGAAGAAGCCGGCCCUUUCGAUCACGAAUUACGAGCGAUUAACAUCAGUGGACGUUUUCUUGGCUUUUUUCGGCGCGCAGCAGCUUCUCUCAGUUUUCUUCAAUCAACUCAAUUUCGAUUUUUUUUCCUACAAUAUACUUGGUACAACCUCCAUUGGUAUCCGACCAAGGAGCUCAUCAAUAUACGGUUCUUCCACGCAUUUACUGGCCCUCCACUGGUAUCCGACCAGGGAGAUUG